AAAAAAAUCUUUUAGAAAGAUCUAAUCCAGGCUCCUCCCUGGGGGUGGGGGUGGACCCUGAGCCAGCGCGCUGAGCUCCAGGGUGAGAAUUGUCUUUUAUUGACAGUGGAAGCCUGGCCCUGUAGGUAGUUCCAUGACCUCUUCCCACGGGAGUUUCUCUCUCUGGAACCUGACUGUUGAACCCAGGUUAAAAUUCUCACCCUGGGCCGAAGAAGAGGGGACAGAGCAAAUCCUUUAAGCCUGAGUGACAGAGAACAUCGUUCCAAUGGCUUCAUGCACACACCGUCUGAAUCACUGAAGAAAAUUCUGUAUCAGGUGGACGUAGAGUACCGUAUACGGAUGCAGAUAGCAAUGAGGCAGCCCCAGGCGGCGAGGGCUGGCACUGAUGGACGAGCACCCUGCCUUUUCGCCUCUCAGUGAAACAACCCAUGUCCUGACUCAUCUUCCCUAAUGGAACUGAGCCAGGUGCCCACAGCAAUGACUCUUCAUGACGCUGCCUGCCCUUCCCUGAUAUUCUCCACCCCCCUCCCAGGCUUCCUGGGGUUGCAUCCCAAAUAAACCAA